AUGCUCAUUUCGGCAGCACAUAUACUAAAAUUGGAACGAUACAGAGAGGAUUAGCGUGGCCCUUGUGCAAGGAUGACAUGUAAAUUUGUGAAGUGUUGCAUAUUUUU
rfam:Tupaia chinensis contig164608, whole genome shotgun sequence.